CACGCUGAUUGGUUGCCUCCUGCGUGAGACCGGACCUGGGCCAGGGAGCAAGCCUGCAACCAAGCGCUGGAAUCGGACCCAGGACCGUUCAGUCCACAGGCUGAUGCUCUAACCACGGAGCCAAACCAGCGAGGACUCAACCUGGUAAACAGUUUGGCCAUAUAAAUUCAAAAUUGGUACCUGAAUAUUGUUCCUGGGAUAACCCUUUAAGAAACAGAACUCUUAAAAGGCAUGUCUGGAUAGCUGCAGAAGGAACAAGCAGAAUUGGUCACAGAGAAAAGGAAGGUUUUAUUUCACAGAGCACAGAGGAUGAUCCUGAUUUAGCAGGACUGGCAGUGUCUGUGAGCUCUAAAGCGGUGUACGGACUAAACCCAAAGAUACCAUUGAAAGGAGCGUAAAAGAAUAUCAGUUUAGAAACUACGUUAACAACGUGCCCAGCCCCACACCAUGAUGACAUGCACCUUGGCCAACAGUGGAAGGUUUGUGUGAUGCACAGUCGGCGGUCAGUGACCACAUUACCGAGUCCACAUCCUCCCUGAAGGGGUGAAGACUGCUUGUUCGACCACAGGACUUUAUAGUGUUCCUUUCCAGCUCCUCUCUGUACUCGACCCUCUAGUCAUUAGUCACUCUAUUGGUCUUAUGUAUUUAGGAAUCCCCUAUUUAAACAGAUUUAACCAGAACAUCAGUGUCACAAAUAUAUACUGGUUGCCUGUUAUUAAGCAGAAACUAUAUGAGAUGUUGGCAGAAUAAGCAUGAAGAAGGUUUGCCCCGUCCUUGAAGGGGGGUGUGUGCCGAGGAGCGCUGUCCUGGAGGGCUGACACCCGGGGGAGGCCAUCCCCGUCCUCCCUGGAUGC